rnacentral:rRNA from 1 species
AUUGAACGCUGGCGGCAGGCCUAACACAUGCAAGUCGAGCGGAGCGGCGGACGGGUGAGUAAUGCCUAGGAAUCUGCCUUGUAGUGGGGGAUCACGUCCGUAACCGGUCGCUCAUCCCUCAUACUAUCAGAUGCGCCUAGGUCGGAUUAGCUAGUUGGUGGGGUACAGGCCUACCAAGGCGACGAUCCGUAACUGGUCUGAGAGGAUGAUCAGUCACACUGGAACUGAGACACGGUCCAGACUCCUACGGGAGGCAGCAGUGGGGAAUAUUGGACAAUGGGCGAAAGCCUGAUCCAGCCAUGCCGCGUGUGUGAAGAAGGUCUUCGGAUUGUAAAGCACUUUAAGUUGGGAGGCGGUACCAACAGAAUAAGCACAGGCUAACUUCGUGCCAGCAGCCGCGGUAAUAC